rnacentral:rRNA from 1 species
GACGAACGCUGGCGGCGUGCCUAAUACAUGCAAGUCGAGCGGAUUUUCGGAAGCUUGCUUCCGAAAAUUAGCGGCGGACGGGUGAGUAACACGUGGGCAACCUGCCUGUAAGACUGGGAUAACUUCGGGAAACCGGAGCUAAUACCGGAUACAUUCUUCCCUCGCAUGAGGGAAGAUGGAAAGACGGUUUUGCUGUCACUUACAGAUGGGCCCGCGGCGCAUUAGCUAGUUGGUGGGGUAAUGGCCCACCAAGGCGACGAUGCGUAGCCGACCUGAGAGGGUGAUCGGCCACACUGGGACUGAGACACGGCCCAGACUCCUACGGGAGGCAGCAGUAGGGAAUCUUCCGCAAUGGACGAAAGUCUGACGGAGCAACGCCGCGUGAGCGAAGAAGGCCUUCGGGUCGUAAAGCUCUGUUGUCAGGGAAGAACAAGUACCAUAGUAACUGAUGGUACCUUGACGGUACCUGACCAGAAAGCCACGGCUAACUACGUGCCAGCCGCCGCAGUAAAAC